UGAGAGUACUCGUCGAAUAAGCAUCGGCUAACUCCGUGCCAGCAGCCGCGGUAAUACGGAGGAUGCAAGCGUUAUCCGGAUUUAUUGGGUUUAAAGGGUGCGUAGGCUGUUCGGUAAGUCAGAGGUGAAAGCCCGGAGCUCAACUCCGGAACUGCCUUUGAUACUGCCGGGCUUGAAUACGGAUGCCGUGGGAGGAAUGAGUAGUGUAGCGGUGAAAUGCAUAGAUAUUACUCAGAACACCGAUUGCGAAGGCAUCUCACGAAUCCGUUAUUGACGCUGAGGCACGAAAGCGUGGGGAUCAAACAGGAUUAGAUACCCUG
rnacentral:rRNA from 1 species